UUCCCCUAGUAACUGCGAGUGAAGCGGGAAAAGCUCAAAUUUAAAAUCUGGUGGUCUUUGGCCAUCCGAGUUGUAAUCUAGAGAAGUGUUACCCGCGUCGGACCGUGUACAAGUCUCCUGGAAUGGAGCGUCAUAGAGGGUGAGAAUCCCGUCUUUGACACGGACUACCGAGGCUUUGUGGUGCGCUCUCAACGAGUCGAGUUGUUUGGGAAUGCAGCUCAAAAUGGGUGGUAAAUUCCAUCUAAAGCUAAAUAUUGGCGAGAGACCGAUAGCGAACAAGUACCGUGAGGGAAAGAUGAAAAGAACUUUGGAAAGAGAGUUAAACAGUACGUGAAAUUGCUGAAAGGGAAACGCUUGAAGUCAGUCGCGUUGGCCGGAAAUCAGCCUUGCUUUUGCUGGGUGUACUUUCUGGUUGACGGGCCAGCAUCAGUUUUGACYGGUGGAAAAAGUUCAGAGGAAUGUGGCAUCUUCGGAUGUGUUAUAGCCUUUGGUCGUAUACAUCGGUUGGGACUGAGGAACUCAGCACGCCGAAAGGCCGGGUCUUUGACCACGUUCGUGCUUAGGAUGCUGGCAUAAUGGCUUUAAUCGACCCGUCUUGAAACACGGACCAAGGAGUCUAACAUGCCUGCGAGUGUUUGGGUGGAAAACCCGGACGCGUAAUGAAAGUGAAAGUUGAGAUCCCUGUCAUGGGGAGCAUCGACGCCCGGACCAGAAGUUCUCUGACGGCCCUGCGGUAGAGCAUGUAUGUUGGGACCCGAAAGAUGGUGAACUAUGCCUGAAUAGGGUGAAGCCAGA
rnacentral:rRNA from 1 species